ACACCUACGGGGGGCAGCAGUGAGGAAUAUUGGUCAAUGGCCGUAAGGCUGAACCAGCCAAGUAGCGUGAGGGAAGACGGCCCUAUGGGUUGUAAACCUCUUUUGUCGGAGAACAAAACCCGGGACGUGUCCCGGACUGCGUGUAUCCGAAGAAAAAGCAUCGGCUAACUCCGUGCCAGCAGCCGCGGUAAUACGGAGGAUGCGAGCGUUAUCCGGAUUUAUUGGGUUUAAAGGGUGCGCAGGCGGAAGAUCAAGUCAG
rnacentral:rRNA from 1 species